UUUUAUUCAUCAAUACAGUAAUGUCACGUUACAAGUAAACACGAUAGAACUAAAGCAGGUAUAAUACAAUGUUGUAAAUUAUUGACAAAUGAAUGCUAUGAACAUUAAGGUGCGGUGUUUUGCGCGUGCGCAGUGACUAAGCGGUUAGCGGCGAGCGACGAGUCGUAGUCGACAUUAUUUGGUCGGAGUCUGUGGGCCGGCAUCGGCCACGGCCGCGCGAUUAACUGGCGCGCGGAGAUCAUCAUGUGCUCUGUGUGCAACGCGAUGUACUUCAUAGAACAUUUCAACCGCAUACUGUACCGCUGCUAGCUCUAAUAUGUAAUCAAGUUGUAAUUUUAUUUUAUUCAUAUGAUAUACCUGUCUGUCGGUCUGUAUACAGAACACGGCUGUGGGCAUAAUGUUCUUCAUAGGAAACAUAAAAGCGAUGGUUUAUUAUUUCACUAUGGUGUGUAAGUAUAAAGCAUCAUUACAUCGUAACUUCUACGUUUUCUAGAGUAUUGAAAUCCGGGAAAAUAAAUAAUGACGAAGAAA